rnacentral:SRP_RNA from 1 species
GCCAGGCACAGUGGCGGGUGCCUGUAAUCCCAGCUACUUGGGAGGUUGAGGCAGGAGAAUUGCUUGAACCCAGGAGGUGGAGGGUGUGGUAAGCUGAGAUUGCCACUGCAUUCUAGCCUGGGUGACAGAGCAAGAGUCUGUCUCAA